GCGACGACGACGGGGAAGUCGAUGACGACCACCUUGUCGAGCGCGGCCAUGAAGGUGGCGGCGAACGCGGCGUGCCUGUCGUGGCCCAUGUAGGUGGCCAGGUCGUCGGCGAAGGCGAAGGUCAGCGAGAAGACGUGGGUGAAGCCCUGCGUCAGCAUCUCCUGGUUCAGCACGUCCUGACCCCUACAAUGCAAACCAGUCCAUUGAUUUGUUCAUGGAGAUGCAUGGAGAGCAGGGUGAUGACUGAUGAACAGAACAAAUUGCAAUCUCCCAUCUCCCUUCUAGUAUUAGCAAAGCGAGAUGCUAGCUCGUGAUACUGGCCGGCUGGCCGGCCGGGCAUCCAUGUCAAUCAUUCAGCAGAGCAUGAUAGCGAGUCUCUGAACUCUGAAGAAGUUGGAUGCAACACCUGUUUGCUAACUGAAUGACUGAACAAAAGCCAUUCAGAGCUGUACCAUGUGUUACUGUUACUAAUUCACCAUGCAGUGUAAAGUGUAAACUUUAACACAGAAAAAAUAAAGCUGAAUACAUUCAGCUUGCUUGCUUGACAGAAGAGGAAGGGUGAGAAGAAGGGAGUGAGAAGGCAGAAAGGUAACAACAGCUCAUGAAUGAAUGAAUGAACAAAAGCCAUUCAGAGCUGUACCAUGUGUUACUGUUACUAAUUCACCAUGCAGUGUAGUAAAGUGUAAACUUUAACAGAAAAAAGAAAGCUGAAUACAUUCAGCUUGAUUGCUUGACAGAAGGGGAAGGGUAAGAAGAAGGGAGUGGGAAGGCAGAAAGGUAACAACAGCUCAUGAAUGAAUGAAUGAAUGACUGACUGAAUGUAGUACCACUCGAAAGAUUUCACCAUGUCCAUCCCGGCCACGAGGUCAGUCAUGCCUUUGAGGACAUCCUCCACCACGACGCCCUCCUUGAACUUCACCAGGCACAGGUGCUUCACCUCCCCCAUGGUUGGCCGGCGCCGAAAGCCCCCUCUGACCCUCAAAGCAAGC
rnacentral:lncRNA from 1 species